CUGCUCGCUUUGGCAGCACACAUAAAAUUGGAACGAUACAGAGACGGUUAGCAUGGUCCCUGCACAAGGAUGAUACGCAAAUUUGUGAAGCGUUCCAUAUUAAA
rnacentral:snRNA from 1 species